UACAGAGGUGGCAAGCGUUGUUCGGAAUUACUGGGCGUAAAGGGCGCGUAGGCGGUUCGUUAAGUCCUGUGUGAAAUCCCCCGGCUCAACCCUGGGAUGCCGGUGGAUACUGUCGGGCUCGAGUCCGGAAGAGGAGUGUGGAAUUCCUGGUGUAGCGGUGAAAUGCGCAGAUAUCAGGAGGAACACCAAUGGCGAAGGCAGCACUCUGGGACGUGACUGACGCUGAGACGCGAAAGCGUGGGGAGCAAACAGG
rnacentral:rRNA from 1 species